AGAAAAAAAUUGAGCAAAGUAAUAAACCUCGGGGGUCUUCUGUGUACACAGACCCAGGCGCCGAGGUCUCAGGGUAAAUGCCUGGAAAGUUCACGUCUUAUCUGAAUUCUUGUUGCUGUCUGUAAAUCAGACACACAACUUCAGAUAAAGCUCAUCUCCUGCUGUCCAGACUUGGCACUCAACCCAGGAGUCAAGGAACCCCAAAAGACAGGGGGAAUUUCCGUGGGUCUUUUAGAUGGUGAAAAAGGCACUGGGAGAGUGAGCUGCAGGGCCAGGGUGGCCUCGUGGUAGGAAGUCACUCUGGGACCAGGAAAAAAGCUCCUGCAAUAAUCUCUCUGUGACCUGAAAGGGCCCAACUUGAAGUGGACUGAAUGCAGAGCCGGCAUGAUUUCCUGAAGGAUUAAGUGUGGAAUGUGAUUGGAAGGAGAGGUCAAGGACUCUUCUCCUCUUCAGAACUCUUCACGCUCCUCAUAAACCUGCCGUCUUUAUAGUCAUGUAAGUACCCAAGCACCUACUAAAUUACCUUCGGCCCAUACGUCUUCUCACCCUGGCCACAAGUUCUUCUGGAAGUCUAUACUGCAUGCUGUCUUGUGUUCACCAUAGCUGUUUCCUCCCUGGAGAGGUAGCCUCUCAUUCUGGGGACAACGAGGAAGCCAACUAGCAUGUAGACCCACAGAAGAUCCAUCAUCACCAAGACCUGUAACUCUACUUGUUCUAUCCAAAGGAGACACAUUAGAGAGGAAAGACAGUCCAGUGGUUGGCUCCCUCCAUCCUGAAAUAGACCCAAGGUGAGGAGAAAACUUCCUGAGCCUCCCGGAAAGCCCUGCUCCCAGUCGACAUUAAGACACACAUGGCUGCAUCUCUGUCAGUCACACUAUUUGCAGCAAACUCUAUUAUGAUGUCCUGUUCACCCUCUGUCACAGCAGGUUCUAGAGAGCAUGCAGUUUAGCCUAAGCUUGAUAACUACUUGAAUAAUACGAUCAAUAAAAAUAAUCAAUACAGUCACCUCCUGGUGCCUCACUUCUUGUUAGCAGAAGAAAAUGACAAGGACUCCACCACAGUGCCUGAGUCGACAGGAAGCACUGUUUGUAACAUUAUAGAGCUGUCAAUCAGUCACACGUAUCUGACCACCUCAGAUCCAAAGAGUUCCACGGGCCACCUCGAUCCUCAGCGCUGCCGGGAUCCAGCAGCGCUCGCUACAAAGCUAGCGUUUUUUUCUGCACGGUUUUGAAGUCUGCUCCACAGGAGAUUUCACUGAAGGAAGAGGCAGACAGCGUGGCUGCUUCCCCAUGAGGUAAAUAUUGUGUUAAGAUAAUUGUUAACUUUGGAGCGAGCCCCACUGCACGGCGGGUUUAACUGCCCCAAACCAUACAAACCUCUCUAAUUACUUGGCUCUCCCACCACCACACCACAAGCCUUCGGAGAACAAAACACGUAGACAUGAGAUCAGUCUCUGCUUUGUGGACAAACCCCGGAUCCCACGCAAGGGAGAGGAUGGGAAUCCUUCUCUAUUCAAGUACAGAGAGAACAGACGAACCCUGUGCCCUAAGAACUGGAGAGAGAAACUUCUUUUGUGGACAAUGACCAACACUUCUUACUUCCCGCUCACAUAG